CACAGAAGGUUUUAACCUCUGUGCUGCUGGACAAACCUAUGCCUGGCAUCGUAAUAAACUGCGAAAUCUUGCUGUAGCAGACUGCAUUCCUGUUGAUUAUUUGACCAAUUGCGGGACCGAGAGGCCCCUCCCGGGGUUUGAGAUCUUCAUAUGGUGCCGUGACUCGGAUUCGGUACGGACGGAUUGUGGACAGUGGUGUGAGAGCCUUGAGCCCUCUGCUAUUGAGUGUUGAGGAAUCGGCCAACCAGACAUACUCUUGCUUCAGAAAUGACCACUAGGAUCAAGAUCGAGCUUACCCUGCUAUGCGGACUUGCCAUCACCAGCACUGGUGCACGAGGAGGGACCGUCUAACCGUGCGAUCCUGAGCAACCAGGGACUGUGUACCAUCUAUGCCAAGAAGGUGUCCUUGUGUGCCAAGAGACUGGUUCCUUUGGUGCGUGGAAGGUUACCAAUAAUGACUGCUGCUGUGGUCAACUACAGCAACGAGACCGGACAAUCCAUUUACAGAACAAGUCUCAAUGGUCUUUACCCUGUCCAGCGUGACUUAUUUGAAUGAAGGCAAGGCUUACCAGGGUCGCCUAUCACACAAUGGAAUGACCAAAGGGGAGAGAUGAGGUACCGAAACUUGGAUUUAGGCUGUUACCAGGAGCAACCAUUUUACGCAUAGUUUUAUUCACCAUAACCAGACACUUCUCAACGCAAAGUAACAUAACAAAAUGGCUUCAGGCUGCAAAUUAACACUGCGUUUAAAAUGCCCUCUCACCCUGCUAAAGGCGGCAUUCCUGCCUUGCUGAGCUAACUGUAUCAAAGAUAAAGCAGAUCAAUGGACCCUUCACAGUAUGGAAUUAACUAAAGCUAGAUAGGACAUUACUAACCAUCCCAGCUAACCUUCAAAUGCAGGUGGGAAGAGAUAAUGUGUGGAAAACAACUUUGUUUCCCAGGAAAUAUCAUUGGGUUAACCUGCUGUCCACAAUGCUAUUUUAUUACACUUUAUUGGAUUUACUCUGCAAUUAAGGCUGUACUAUUUCUUAAGAAAUAUAUAAAAAUUGCCUUUGUUCCAAGUGAAAUUGUGCAGUUUCUCCAAGGAACACAGAAGGUGUGCGAUUGUCUCUCUCUCACACACACACACACACACACAUACAGACAGACACAUACAAUCAGACACAUACAAUCAUUCAUUCACAUAUGCACGCACAUAAAGAUACAGACACACACACUCUCUCGUUCACAUAUACACAGACACAUGCGCACACACACACAAUUAUUCAUUCACGUACAUAUAUAGAAACAUUAAUU